rnacentral:rRNA from 1 species
GUGUCAGCAGCCGCGGUAAGACGUAGGGGGCGAGCGUUAUCCGGAUUCACUGGGCGUAAAGGGCGCGCAGGCGGCUACGUAAGUCCGGCGUGAAAUCCCAUGGCUUAACUGUGGAACUGCGUCGGAUACUGCGUUGGCUUGAGGAUGGUAGAGGCCAUUAGAACUAGCGGUGUAGCGGUGAAAUGCGCAGAUAUCGCUAGGAAUGCCGGUGGCGAAGGCGGAUGGCUGGGCCACUCCUGACGCUGAGGCGCGAAAGCUAGGGGAGCGAACCGGAUUAGAUACCCCCGUAGUCC